UGGUGCAAUUUGAAAAAUUGG
rnacentral:piRNA from 1 species